GCAUAUCAAUAAGCGGAGGAAAAGAAACCAACAGGGAUUGCCCUUAGUAACGGCGAAGUGAAGCGGCAACAGCUCAAAUUUGAAAUCUGGCUCUUUCAGAGUCCGAGUUGUAAUUUGCAGAGGGCGCUUUGGCGUUGGCAGCGGUCCAAGUUCUUUGGAACAGGACGUCACAGAGGGUGAGAAUCCCGUACGUGGUCGCUAGCCUUCGCCGUGUAAAGCCCCUUCGACGAGUCGAGUUGUUUGGGAAUGCAGCUCUAAAUGGGAGGUAAAUUUCUUCUAAAGCUAAAUACUGGCCAGAGACCGAUAGCGCACAAGUAGAGUGAUCGAAAGAUGAAAAGCACUUUGGAAAGAGAGUCAAAUAGCACGUGAAAUUGUUGAAAGGGAAGCGCUUGCAGCCAGACUUGCCUGUAGUUGCUUAUCUGGACUUUUGUCCAGUGCACUCUUCUGCGGGCAGGCCAGCAUCAGUUUGGGCGGUUGGAUAAAGGUCUCUGUCAUGUACCUCCUUUCGGGGAGGCCUUAUAGGGGAGACGACAUGCAACCAGCCUGGACUGAGGUCCGCGCAUCUGCUAGGAUGCUGGCGUAAUGGCUGUAAGCGGCCCGUCUUGAAACACGGACCAAGGAGUCUAACAUCUAUGCGAGUGUUUGGGUGUCAAGCCCAGACGCGUAAUGAAAGUGAACGGAGGUGGGAACCUUUUAGGUGCACCAUCGACCGAUCCUGAUGUCUUCGGAAGGAUUUGAGUAAGAGCAUAGCUGUUGGGACCCGAAAGAUGGUGAACUAUGCUUGAAUAGGGUGAAGCCAGAGGAAACUCUGGUGGAGGCUCGCAGCGGUUCUGACGUGCAAAUCGAUCGUCAAAUUUGGGCAUAGGGGCGAAAGACUAAUCGAACUAUCUAGUAGCUGGUUCCUGCCGAA
rnacentral:rRNA from 1 species